AACGAACGCUGGCGGCAUGCCUAACACAUGCAAGUCGAACGAGACCUUCGGGUCUAGUGGCGCACGGGUGCGUCACGCGUGGGAACCUGCCCUUAGGUUCGGAAUAACUCCCCGACAGGGGUGCUAAUACCGGAUAAUGUCUUCGGCCCAAAGAUUUAUCGCCUUUGGUUGGGCCCGCGUUGGAUUAGCUAGUUGGUAGGGUAAAAGCCUACCAAGGCGACGAUCCAUAGCUGGUCUGAGAGGAUGAUCAGCCACACUGGGACUGAGACACGGCCCAGACUCCUACGGGAGGCAGCAGUGGGGAAUAGUGGGCAAUGGGCGAAAGGCUGAUCCAGCAAGGCCGCGUGAGUGAUGAAGGCCUUAGGGUUGUAAAGCUCUUUUACCCGGGAUGAUAAUGACAGUACCGGGAGAAUAAGCUCCGGCUAACUCCGUG
rnacentral:rRNA from 1 species